AAGAUGCAGGUUUAUGCUGUUCUAUCAUUUAGUAAGUUAUUAUACAGAUACGCUGUUGUUAUUUUUUAAAUAAGUGAGUUUACAAAAAAUAAGGGUUCAGUGGAAAUAUAUGAAAUAAUUCACAUGCUAUAAAACAUUAGGACAACUAAUCCCGAAGGUCAAAAACUCUCUAAUGAAGAGCUCGGGGGUGAAGACAUUCUGAAUAUUUAGCCACCAAAAGAAGAAGUUUAAUGAAAAUAUAUUCCUAGUAGGAAUGCAUUCAGAAUGUUCUGUCUGAAUCCAAACUUUAUUCAUUGUUGGAAUUAAAGUAAACUUGUCAAUGUUUCAUGGAUACUGGCAGAAGAAACAAGUCUCCUGGGUCAGAGACAAGCAAGUAGCACAGCAAGCAGCAUGAGCAUCAAGUCUGCACUGAUUCCCCUACCCACCAGGUUCCACAAGGGAGGCACAACAGGCCAGGAGGAUACCAAGCAUGCAGUGGGUUUGCAUCAUCACAACUGACAAAUGGGAGCUUGGGAAAUCUACUGCUUUUUGAGUAAGCACAAAGCAAGCCUGAAGGACAAAUGCAAUCCUAAGAAAUGCUUCAGGUUAAGAAGACAGGUCAAGGUCUUGCAUUUUUGGCAUACCCAGCAAGUAUGUACAAGGACGCAUGGGGCUGAAAGAAGAUUGCCUUGCCCAACUGAUGCUUGAGAAAAUUUUGGUUUAAAGAAUUUUCUGAUCAAAAUUGAUUUCUAUUCAUAACAAGAAAAUCUAUUUAUUCUCUCUCUCUUUCUCUGUCUCUCUCUCACAAAUAUGCAUGCACACACACGCGCGCACACACACACACGCCUUUUACAUUGUCUUAAACUGAUACUGAAACCUUAAAUAGUAACCCCCCCACACCACCUGUUCCCAUGUCAACCAGAAACUCUGUGGUGAUAAAAGUAAAGAUGGCUUUUUACACUUAUUCA
ensembl:lncRNA novel transcript